rnacentral:rRNA from 1 species
AACACAUGCAAGUCGAGCGGUAACAGAAAUUAGCUUGCUAAUUUGCUGACGAGCGGCGGACGGGUGAGUAAUGCCUGGGAAUAUGCCUUAGUGUGGGGGAUAACUAUUGGAAACGAUAGCUAAUACCGCAUAAUGUCUUCGGACCAAAGAGGGGGACCUUCGGGCCUCUCGCGCUAAGAUUAGCCCAGGUGAGAUUAGCUAGUUGGUGAGGUAAGAGCUCACCAAGGCGACGAUCUCUAGCUGGUCUGAGAGGAUGAUCAGCCACACUGGAACUGAGACACGGUCCAGACUCCUACGGGAGGCAGCAGUGGGGAAUAUUGCACAAUGGGCGAAAGCCUGAUGCAGCCAUGCCGCGUGUAUGAAGAAGGCCUUCGGGUUGUAAAGUACUUUCAGUCGUGAGGAAGGGUAUGUAGUUAAUAGCUGCAUAUCUUGACGUUAGCGACAGAAGAAGCACCGGCUAACUCCGUGCCAGCAGCCGCGGUAAUACGGAGGGUGCGAGCGUUAAUCGGAAUUACUGGGCGUAAAGCGCAUGCAGGUGGUUCAUUAAGUCAGAUGUGAAAGCCCGGGGCUCAACCUCGGAACCGCAUUUGAAACUGGUGAACUAGAGUGCUGUAGAGGGGGGUAGAAUUUCACGUGUAGCGGUGAAAUGCGUAGAGAUCUGAAGGAAUACCAGUGGCGAAAGCGGCCCCUGGACAGACACUGACACUCAGAUGCGAAAGCGUGGGGAACAAACAGGAUUAGAUACCCUGGUAGUCCACGCCGUAAACGAUGUCUACUUGGAGUUGUGGCCUUGCGCCGUGGCCUUCGGAGCUAACGCGUUAAGUAGACGCCUGGGGAGUACGGUCGCA